ensembl:snRNA U6 U6 spliceosomal RNA
GUGCUUGCUUCAGCAGCACAUAUACUAAAAUUGGAACGAUGCAGAGAAGAUUAGCAUGGUCCCUGCACAAGGAUGACACAUAAAUUUAUGAUGUGUUCCAUAUUUAU